rnacentral:rRNA from 1 species
CACGUAGGGUGCGAGCGUUGUCCGGAAUUAUUGGGCGUAAAGAGCUCGUAGGCGGUUUGUUGCGUCUAUCGUGAAAACCUGCGGCUUAACUGUGGGCUUGCGGUGGAUACGGGCAGACUUGAGUUCGGUAGGGGAGACUGGAAUUCCUGGUGUAGCGGUGAAAUGCGCAGAUAUCAGGAGGAACACCGGUGGCGAAGUCGGGUCUCUGGGCCGAUACUGACGCUGAGGAGCGAAAGCGUGGGGAGCGAACAGG